rnacentral:lncRNA from 1 species
UAAAUUUCUACAUAUGCUAUUUUAUUACCGGCUUUCCUCGAUGAAAUCCUACAUUCAAUUCUCACAUCAACCAUUUAUUGUCUGAUCUCCACCAAUCACAUGAACGACGGUGUUAAGUUAUUUGCCAAAUCAUUUUCUAUAAAUUAAAGUCAACUUUCUUUUAAGAGAUCCAUAUUUGCCAUCUUAUCACCUCCUCUCUAUCAUAAAAGCAAGCGAGAGUGUUAAAAUUAUUUCUGAACUUGUUUCUAUUAGCUUGCUUUUUCGGAUAACAUGAAGUAGGUCUAUGAGCGAUUCACAGCUGACGUGGUGGAUCUGGUCUAGGCAACACACAAUUUCUCAAACUAAUUCUAGUAAUUUUCUUCUUUUUUUUUCUAUUGUUGGAAAUAAUAAGCAGCGGAAACUUACAAACCGGAUAGCCAACGUAUCCGGGAACCGGAAUCGGAUCGGGUUGCUUGUUUUACAAGCCUUCUUGGAUCGUCCUUGUCUCGAUGCUUCUGGAUCCUCGAAUUAGAUCGUAUUCGAUCGUCGUCCCUACGGGAGAAAACGGGGGCAUAUAUAUAAAAUAACGGAACCCCUAAAUAUCCUGAAUCUCCUAUAGAUUAGGAUAAGGAUUGGGAUAUUUAUUAACAUAUAAUAAAUAUCCAUUAUAAGAUAUGUUUCUUAACUGAUAAGAAACAUAUAAUUCAUACUUAUCCUAAACUUGUUAGGAUGAAUCAUGAUCCAUAACUUAUGUGGAUCGGGUCAAAUCAUAACCCGCCAAUGUGGACACACCAUAUGGCAACAAUCUCCCACUUGGCCACAUUGGCCAACUCUCUCUCACUCAUUCGUCUCUUCAUACGGGUAAUAGAGCGUGCGACCUGACGAAAAGAACCACAUGCAGGAGUGCUAAAUUAAGUCACCACCCAACUAAUAUAGCACAUCACUGACUUAAUUCGUCUAUGCCCUAGACGUUUCAACACACACCGGAUCAAGCAUCACAAAGUCCCUCUCCUGUAAUGACAGGGCUCGACCCCACCGUUAUUUCUCGUACUCAUGAUUAUCUCAAGU